rnacentral:rRNA from 1 species
GACGAACGCUGGCGGCGUGCUUAACACAUGCAAGUCGAACGGUAAGGCCCUUUCGGGGGUACACGAGUGGCGAACGGGUGAGUAACACGUGGGUGAUCUGCCCUGCACUUUGGGAUAAGCCUGGGAAACUGGGUCUAAUACCGGAUAGGACUACGCGAUGCAUGUCGUGUGGUGGAAAGCUUUUGCGGUGUGGGAUGGGCCCGCGGCCUAUCAGCUUGUUGGUGGGGUGAUGGCCUACCAAGGCGACGACGGGUAGCCGGCCUGAGAGGGUGUCCGGCCACACUGGGACUGAGAUACGGCCCAGACUCCUACGGGAGGCAGCAGUGGGGAAUAGUGCACAAUGGGCGCAAGCCUGAUGCAGCGACGCCGCGUGGGGGAUGACGGCCUUCGGGUUGUAAACCCCUUUCAGCACAGACGAAGCGUAAGUGACGGUAUGUGCAGAAGAAGCACCGGCCAACUACGUG